rnacentral:rRNA from 1 species
AUUGAACGCUGGCGGCAGGCCUAACACAUGCAAGUCGAGCGGAUGAGUGGAGCUUGCUCCAUGAUUCAGCGGCGGACGGGUGAGUAAUGCCUAGGAAUCUGCCUGGUAGUGGGGGACAACGUUUCGAAAGGAGCGCUAAUACCGCAUACGUCCUACGGGAGAAAGCAGGGGACCGUCGGGCCUUGCGCUAUCAGAUGAGCCUAGGUCGGAUUAGCUAGUUGGUGAGGUAAAAGCUAACCAAGGCGACGAUCCGUAACUGGUCUGAGAGGAUGAUCAGUCACACUGGAACUGGGACACGGUCCAGACUCCUACGGGAGGCAGCAGUGGGGAAUAUUGGACAAUGGGCGAAAGCCUGAUCCAGCCAUGCCGCGUGUGUGAAGAAGGUCUUCGGAUUGUAAAGCACUUUAAGUUGGGAGGAAGGGCAGUAAGUUAAUACCUUGCUGUUUUGACGUUACCGACAGAAUAAGCACCGGCUAACUUCGUGCCAGCAGCCGCCGCCGUAA